CACGAAUAGGAGACUCUAAGGUAAUAUUUACUUUGGUUUACAUUUCAUAAAAAAAGAAGACUGUAAUUUCAUGGAGGCUCUAACAGAAAUUCCUCUUUCUAUCCAAGCGGAAGAAAUCAUGUUCAGGACCUUUCCCCCAGGGCUCAAGGAAAGCACAUUAACAUGGCAACUCCCACUUUGCUUUAUUUGCAAGUUACCCUUGCAGGAGGAUGAGGUUGGAAUUGAGACAAGCUAUAAGUGAACUAACAGGCCAAAGCCUGGGACAUUAAGGGGUAGGCAAAGAUGCUGAGAGGAUAAUCCCAAAGAUGCAGCUCUCCAGCUGAUGAAAAUCAGAAGAGCCAGAUAAUCACUGAGAUAGAUUUUCACCUAGACAGAAGGUAAUUGCAGUGGCUGUAAGCACAAGGGGCGCAGUGGUGACUCCAGUUCUGCCUGUCACCCUUGCCACCACUGACCUUCCCGGCCCUGUGUUUUGGGAUGCUAGAGGAGGGGCUGAGGCCCUUUGAGUGACCUGAAAGGAUGAGCAGGAGGCCUGUCCAGAGCAGCAGUGGGAAAAGACACGUGCAGCGAGCCCUGAGCGUGGGGGAAGCAGAGCUGCAGCCUGUUGCAGACACAGGAGCCUCUGGAGCACAGGUGAUCCCAGGACCUCUCCACACUGAGGCUGAAGGAGCUCUGGCCAGGUGGGACAGUGCCAGUGCCACAGCCAGGCCGGUGCCCAGCCCUGCUCUGCUCCUGCCUUGGGACACUCGGACGCUCGGACAGGUGGCCAUGAGGAGGAAAGCUGGGACUACUGAACUAAACCUUCAUGCUGCUCUAUAG
rnacentral:lncRNA from 1 species